rnacentral:rRNA from 1 species
CAGUCGCCGCGGGAAUACGUAGGUGGCAAGCGUUGUCCGGAAUUAUUGGGCGUAAAGGGCUCGCAGGCGGUUUCUUAAGUCUGAUGUGAAAGCCCCCGGCUCAACCGGGGAGGGUCAUUGGAAACUGGGAAACUUGAGUGCAGAAGAGGAGAGUGGAAUUCCACGUGUAGCGGUGAAAUGCGUAGAGAUGUGGAGGAACGCCAGUGGCGAAGGCGACUCUCUGGUCUGUAACUGACGCUGAGGAGCGAAAGCGUGGGGAGCGAACAGGAUUAGAUACCCCUGUAGUCCAUGUCUCUUAUAC